UAAAUUUAGAGUUUGAUCCUGGCUCAGGACGAACGCUGGCGGCGUGCUUAACACAUGCAAGUCGAGCGAUGAAGCUUCCUUCGGGAAGUGGAUUAGCGGCGGACGGGUGAGUAACACGUGGGUAACCUGCCUCAAAGUGGGGGAUAGCCUUCCGAAAGGAAGAUUAAUACCGCAUAAUAUAAGAGAAUCGCAUGAUUUUCUUAUCAAAGAUUUAUUGCUUUGAGAUGGACCCGCGGCGCAUUAGCUAGUUGGUGAGGUAACGGCUUACCAAGGCAACGAUGCGUAGCCGACCUGAGAGGGUGAUCGGCCACAUUGGAACUGAGACACGGUCCAGACUCCUACGGGAGGCAGCAGUGGGGAAUAUUGCGCAAUGGGGGAAACCCUGACGCAGCAACGCCGCGUGGGUGAUGAAGGUCUUCGGAUUGUAAAGCCCUGUUUUCUAGGACGAUAAUGACGGUACUAGAGGAGGAAGCCACGGCUAACUACGUGCCAGCAGCCGCGGUAAUACGUAGGUGGCGAGCGUUGUCCGGAUUUACUGGGCGUAAAGGGUGCGUAGGCGGAUGUUUAAGUGGGAUGUGAAAUCCCCGGGCUUAACCUGGGGGCUGCAUUCCAAACUGGAUAUCUAGAGUGCAGGAGAGGAAAGCGGAAUUCCUAGUGUAGCGGUGAAAUGCGUAGAGAUUAGGAAGAACACCAGUGGCGAAGGCGGCUUUCUGGACUGUAACUGACGCUGAGGCACGAAAGCGUGGGUAGCAAACAGGAUUAGAUACCCUGGUAGUCCACGCCGUAAACGAUGGAUACUAGGUGUAGGGGGUAUCAACUCCCCCUGUGCCGCAGUUAACACAAUAAGUAUCCCGCCUGGGGAGUACGGUCGCAAGAUUAAAACUCAAAGGAAUUGACGGGGGCCCGCACAAGCAGCGGAGCAUGUGGUUUAAUUCGAAGCAACGCGAAGAACCUUACCUGGACUUGACAUCCCUUGCAUAGCCUAGAGAUAGGUGAAGCCCUUCGGGGCAAGGAGACAGGUGGUGCAUGGUUGUCGUCAGCUCGUGUCGUGAGAUGUUAGGUUAAGUCCUGCAACGAGCGCAACCCUUGUUAUUAGUUGCUACCAUUAAGUUGAGCACUCUAAUGAGACUGCCUGGGUAACCAGGAGGAAGGUGGGGAUGACGUCAAAUCAUCAUGCCCCUUAUGUCCAGGGCUACACACGUGCUACAAUGGUAGGUACAAUAAGACGCAAGACCGUGAGGUGGAGCAAAACUUAUAAAACCUAUCUCAGUUCGGAUUGUAGGCUGCAACUCGCCUACAUGAAGCUGGAGUUGCUAGUAAUCGCGAAUCAGAAUGUCGCGGUGAAUACGUUCCCGGGCCUUGUACACACCGCCCGUCACACCAUGAGAGCUGGUAACACCCGAAGUCCGUGAGGUAACCGUAAGGAGCCAGCGGCCGAAGGUGGGAUUAGUGAUUGGGGUGAAGUCGUAACAAGGUAGCCGUAGGAGAACCUGCGGCUGGAUCACCUCCUUUCU
rnacentral:rRNA from 1 species